rnacentral:rRNA from 1 species
CUGGCUCAGGAUGAACGCUAGCGGCAGGCCUAAUACAUGCAAGUCGUACGGUAAGUCCCUCGGGGAUGAGAGUGGCGGACGGGUGCGUAACGCGUAUGCAACCCACCCCCGACCGGGCGGAUAGCCGGUGGAAACGCCGGAUAACCCGCCAUGCGGCCCCACAGGGGCAUCCCUGUGGAGUCAAAGCGGCGACGCGGUCGGGGACGGGCAUGCGUCCCAUUAGAUGGUUGGCGGUGCAAUGGACCACCAAGUCUACGAUGGUAGGGGAUCUGAGAGGACGGUCCCCCACACUGGUACUGAGACACGGACCAGACUCCUGCGGGAGGCAGCAGUAAGGGAUAUUGGGCAAUGGGGGCAACCCUGACCCAGCCAUGCCCGCGUGAGGGAAUGAGGCCCUACGGGUCGUGAACCUCUUUUGUCCGGGGACAAGGCAUCCCACGCGAUGGGAUGUUGAGGGUACCGGGAGAAUAAGCGUCGGCUAACUCCGUGCCAGCCGCCGC